rnacentral:rRNA from 1 species
AACGAACGCUGGCGGCAUGCUUAACGCAUGCAAGUCGAACGGUCUUAUGGGGCUUGCUCCAUAAGAUAGUGGCAGACGGGUGAGUAACACGUGGGAACGUACCCUAAGGUUCGGAAUAACAGUUGGAAACGACUGAUAAUACCGGAUAUCCCCGAGAGGAGAAAGGUUUACCGCCUUGGGAGCGGCCCGCGUCGGAUUAGGUAGUUGGUGAGGUAAAGGCUCACCAAGCCGAUGAUCAGUAGCUGGUUUGAGAGAAUGAUCAGCCACACUGGGACUGAGACACGGCCCAGACUCCUACGGGAGGCAGCAGUGGGGAAUAUUGGACAAUGGGGGAAACCCUGAUCCAGCAAUGCCGCGUGAGUGAAGAAGGCCUUCGGGUUGUAAAGCUCUUUUGUCCGUGACGAUAAUGACGGUAGCGGACGAAUAAGCACCGGCUAACUUCGUGCCAGCAGCCGCCGUAA